GAUGAACGCUGGCGGCGUGCCUAAUACAUGCAAGUCGAGCGAACAGACGAGGAGCUUGCUCCUCUGACGUUAGCGGCGGACGGGUGAGUAACACGUGGAUAACCUACCUAUAAGACUGGGAUAACUUCGGGAAACCGGAGCUAAUACCGGAUAAUAUAUUGAACCGCAUGGUUCAAUAGUGAAAGACGGUUUUGCUGUCACUUAUAGAUGGAUCCGCGCCGCAUUAGCUAGUUGGUAAGGUAACGGCUUACCAAGGCAACGAUGCGUAGCCGACCUGAGAGGGUGAUCGGCCACACUGGAACUGAGACACGGUCCAGACUCCUACGGGAGGCAGCAGUAGGGAAUCUUCCGCAAUGGGCGAAAGCCUGACGGAGCAACGCCGCGUGAGUGAUGAAGGUCUUCGGAUCGUAAAACUCUGUUAUUAGGAAAGAACAAAUGUGUAAGUAACUAUGCACGUCUUGACGGUACCUAAUCAGAAAGCCACGGCUAACUUCGUG
rnacentral:rRNA from 1 species